UUUGUCUGUUGAGUGCAUGUCCCCAGACUGUGUGGAGCAACAUCAACAUCAACAUGGGUUUUGCGUACUCUGUGUUACCAGUCGAGGGAAACCCCAAACACAGUAACAUCCGACGAUGUAUUCAUCAUGUCAUUAGUACUAACCAGAGAAGUAUAUCAUAUAUCUUGUCUAACUUAACUAGGGGCACAGUUUGGAUUUGGAGUAGAUCUAGGCACUAAGCUUAGGCCUAUUUGUUAACGUCUGCUCCAACAUUCGUCGGAGACUCCGACUGCCCUGGACACUCAACAACAUCGGCACCUGGCUUUGCUGGACAUGGAACAACGCCGUUUGCUGGAGAUAUUUCUUUGGUAAACUGGAGGUGUACGAGGAGGAUGGGACGAGUAUCAUCAUCAGACAUUCCUGAAGUUUAUAGACAAUGGUACAAGGGCCGACCAGUCUUCCUAAAGCAAGUCUCAUAGCUGUACCUGAAUCCACACGUAGGAAGAGAUCACGAAUCAUGACGAAAUGGUACCAAACUUAUCUAGACGUAAACGAGAGUAAGAAAGUAAGAAUACGCAAAUGGAAGGAACAAGAGCAGGUUAUCAGAAAGAAUUGAGGAAAGGGGAGGAGGAUUCUGAGAAGAAAGCUGCUGGUUAACCACACAGUCACACAAAGUAUAAACAAUAGCCUGCUAACUGUAUGAUAACUACACCAUAGCAUACAGAUACUGUUCUGGUGCCCAGAGAAUUCGGCUGUAUUUCUGUCAGGUGUGGUAACUAAUGAGUUUACCGAGGAGCAACACCCCUAUAACUUGAACAGAUGAGUUACGAGAUACGAGGCAGACCACACCCGCUGGGAAAGCAAUCUACCAUGGAUGUACUGGACCUGUUUGUGUCACCCUUGGAGCGGGAGUACUUUGACGAAGACAUCCGUCCUGACUGGAUCAAGGGUAUGAGAUGUCCAGUGUUGGCAUGUACUGGAUCUGAUUGUGCCACCCCAGAAGUACAUUUGACAUCCAUCACUUACUUCUCUGGGCAAUGUGUUUUCCGCUCGAACCGCCGAAAUCAACUUACCCUUGAUUUGACUGAUCCGGCAUGGGGCAUGUAAAGGCAGUGACCACCAAACUGAAAUGGAAAUUAACUAAUCCAUACGCCAGGAACAGGGCUGAAACGACAAGGAUUGCACCUGCAGUACAGCAGACAGGAUCCUUGGUGAGGCCCAUGCUUGGACCAUCGGAUAUUUCACCAUUGCAGCUGGCACUGACCCCAAGGUAGUCACACACAGAACAGAUGGCAACACUAUUUCAGCAGAUCUGUUUGGCAAGUUCAUUGAUAUGUCUGUUUCCAGUGUUCUUAGUAACAGAACAAAAAAUGUCAAUGGUGAACUUAUUGACUUGGGGAGUUUUACUAGACAGUACCUUGACAUCUUGUGAAGAUAAGACAUUCAAGAGGUUAUACAAUGUAUCUAGGGGAAGGUGACGAAUUGCUAAGUUAAAGCUUAAAGCCGAAGCUAAGCCUACUAGGAAGAUAAAAACUAUAUCUGAGAGGACAGAUGUUCAAGGUGGAUAUUUUUACCAGUCAUAAUCAAUUUGAAAAAUAAGUUGCCUGGCCUAGCUGUCUUAAAUUAAAAACGAGAAACUUUCAAUUCUUUAGAUCAGGUAAUAUCUGUCUGUAACUUUUUCGACUGUCUUCUGAUCAUUGACUGCAACCUUUGAAAGAUUGAACCAAAUUGAAAAUUUACACAAUCAUUUUAGUGGCCAUGCAGAAGCCUUAUAGGUCAAUAACUGGUCACCAAUGGUUAAUUUAAGGCACCAUGGACACUAAAAUAGGUGCCACUUUGAGCCCUAUUAAUAGCAUGUUGAUAUGUAGGGGUACCAAGUAUGGCUAACCUUGACCUUCAUUCAAGGUCACAGCUACGGUCAAAUAUGUUAAAAUAUUUAAUCGAUAUCUUGAUAACCAAGAGGCCCAGAGACCUGAUAUUGGGUCUGUUGCAUGCUGGGAUGAAGUGGUACAAAGUUUAUUUAGAGGAAUGUCCUUGGCCUACAUUCAAGGUCACAGGGUUCAAACAUGCUUUUAAGAGCUUUUAAUGACUUCUUCUCAAUAACCAAGCGGCCCAUACAAUGUUUGUUCAAAAUGAAUAACCUUGGCCUCUAGGUCACAGGAGUUAGAUAUGGUAAAAUCAAAGAAUUAUAUAUAUAACACCUCAAGUGACCGUUAGGGCCCAUUGGCCUCUUGUAAUGGUAUUUUGGUUGAAAUGUUUAGAUGUAAUGUUGACAUAUCUGAUAUUUUUUUGAAGUAUAUAUGUCAGAAUAUACUUAUUUUUCUGUACUGUGCAAAAUGACCAGGUAUUUCCCAAAAUAGCACUGGUGGUGCAUGUAACCAUCCGGUAUUCCAACAUGGAGACUGUCAUAUCUUUAAAAGGUUUAAACAUGUCAAAUGUUGGGUUUUAAAUUGUGUAGCAGGUUUGUAUCUACAACUUGAUUCAGCCAUUCCUAAUGAAUCAAACUUUUGUCCAGGAGUCCAUCCCAUUAUUUGGCCAAGUUAGACGAUCCUGAUCAUGAGGGACACACAUACCAGUCCCAUGGUCAGAAGCUCUUCCAUCAGAUGAAACACCAGGAAUAACAGACAAAGCUGUACCAUCAACAUGGCUGUACUUUUUGUCCAGGAAUCCAUCCCCUUAUUUGACCUAGUUAAACAAUCCUGAUUCUGAGGCCCUCAAUCCAGUCCCCAUGGUCAGAAGCUCUUCCAUCAGGUGAAACACCAGGAAUAACAGACAAAGCUGUACCAUCAAAAGAUGACUGUACUAUGAUAGUCACAGAUUUGACACAACUGCAGCAAAAACAGGUCAGCAUGUUAGCAAAACUGGAUGAAUACAAAUGUAGACACCUGGAUCUUGGUCACAGACUUCUACAGGUCAUGAUUGAAGAUGUCUACCCAAAGACUGGGUUCACUUAGGAACAGCACAAACUAUACUUGGACAACACCCCUUCAGAUUAUGAAGAACAUUCUUGUCAUCCGAUGAUCUGGUAUUUGUUGGACUAUCACAGUCCUGAGGAUUGCCAUGCCAAAGGCCAUGUUGUUGUAUAUUUCAAAAGUAAAAUCAUGCAGUCAUAUGGAGUUUGGAACUUCACUCUCAGACCAAGGGGGAUAACUCCAUUUUGAAUGAGAUCAUGGACCCCAGUCAUCACUGAAACUUCACAACUUUAUUUGGAAUCAUCUUUACUUUUAAGAAUACAGAUUUAAAUUAAAGAGAGACUUCAGUAUGGAUGUACUUGACAUUGGAGAAGCUGAUGAUGAUGUUUGUCUAGCUCCAGCUCCAUUGGAACCAGACACGUAUACUUUAGAGGCAAAAAUCAACAGUAGAGCAAGCUAAGGUGAUGUCACUAGUGAUCUCAUCUCACGGACUGUCACUGUGGCCCAGGACCAGGUGAUGUCAUUAGUGAUGUCAUCCCACGGACUGUCACUGUGGCCCAGUCUGUGACUAGUGAUCUCAUCUCACGGACUGUCACUGUGGCCCAGGACCAGGUGAUGUCACUAGUGAUCUCAUCUCACAGACUGUCACUGUGGCCCAGGACCAGGAGAUGUGACUAGUGAUCUCAUCUCACAGACUGUCACUGUGGCCCAGGACCAGGUGAUGUCACUAGUGAUCUCAUCUCAUAGACUGUCACUGUGACCCAGGACCAGGUGAUGUGACUAGUGAUCUCAUCUCACAGACUGUCACUGUGGCCUAGGACCAGGUGAUGUGACUAGUGAUCUCAUCUCAUGGACUGUCACUGUGGCCCAGUCUGUGACUAGUGAUCUCAUCUCACGGACUGUCACUGUGGCCCAGUCUGUGACUAGUGAUCUCAUCUCAGGGACUGUCACUGUGGCCCAGUCUGUGACUAGUGAUGUCAUCCCGCGGACUGUCACUGUGACCCAGGACCAGGUGAUGUCACUAGUGAUCUCAUCUCACGGACUGUCACUGUGGCCCAGUCUGUGACUAGUGAUCUCAUCUCACGGACUGUCACUGUGGCCCAGGACCAGGUGAUGUCAUUAGUGAUGUCAUCCCGCGGACUGUCACUGUGGCCCAGUCUGUCACUAGUGAUCUCAUCUCAUGGACUGUCACUGUGGCCCAGUCUGUCACUAGUGAUCCCAUCUCACGGACUGUCAC